GAGAUCGAAACAUAAUCAUCCUUACUAAAGCAUUCACUUUCUGUAUUUCUCUUCAGGAAAUUUCUAAUAUUCUGUUUAAUCGAAACAGCAAGUGUAUAAAUCAACUGUGCAAUUAAGUGGCCACUUUCAGAAUAAGUCUCACAUCUUGUGUUUCAGCCCCAGAUGUUUCUAGGCUCCAAUAUUUGCCCUGCCUAUAUAUUUACAGCUCAAUUUCUGUCCAUAUGCACUUGUCCAUAAAUGCUUUAUGUUCCAUUUACACUCAGACAACUGAGCCACUUAUGGAAUAGAAUGAUUUUGGCUUCAGUGAUGGCAAAUGUGACAGAGGAUGACUUUGCUUUUAGAGACCUUACAAUCCCAUUUCCAAAACAAAACAAACAAAAAUUGUAUGUGGUCCAGAUUUUAGGACUGAAUAUUCUGAUCAAUGAACAACUUCUUAAAAAUGCAAGAAGAGGAGGAGGUGGGGUUAUAUACUCAGCAUUUUUUUAACGAGGUUUGUACUUUGUACUAGAUUAUUUUAAUGCUGUGUUACUGCAAACCAGUACACUAACCCCCCGCCCUGCAACCUCGGCAUAUAUUUUGAUCUUGCUCUCCCUCCCCAUACUCCUUUCCUUAUGUGAAACUAAACAAAUUGAAAAUAAUGAUUCGUAACCAUCUGCAGGGCUGAAAUUCCACGUACAGCAGUUAACUCCAUUUUACAAAACAGCUCCAAUCUAGUGAAUUAUGGUGCAGUUCUUGUGUGCCAGCAAAUAGCAACAAGCAGUUUAGAGUUCCUCUGGACAAAGACAUGCAGCCAGCAUUUCAUUAUGCCUAGUCACUUUGUGUAGUGGGAGGGGGUGGCGCGGGAGAGAAAGAAAGAGAGGGAGGGAGGGAUAGAGAGAGAGGACGAACGAAAGAACGAACAAGCCCCUAUACACAAUUCAAAGUAAUGCAUUUUGAAAUGGAGUGAAACCAUUACCUAACUGCUUAAUUUGAUCAGAAAGGGGUGGGGUUGAUCUAUAAAAUCAUACGCAGAAGGGAGCCGCAGAGACAUGUGCGUGUCUGUUGACAUCAACAUUUCUGUAGUAUAGACAAACCACUUUUGGAAGUCCAAAUAUAAGGGAGUACAAUGCAAUAAUGUGUUACUACUACUAUCAAAAUAUUUACGUGCUGGUGUGUGAAUUCCGGGAUAUUGUGCUACACAUUCCUUUAAGUGGCCAAGUAAGCUUAAUGUACUUAUCAAGUGACAUUUAUGGUUUUUUUUUAAUUGGAUUAAAGCACACUUUUUAAAAUGGGUACUUUUAAAAAAUCUACAUUUGUUUUUUUCUGUGUUUUUUUUUAAAAUAAAUAUGCUGUUGGUUUAUUUUGAUCUUAGUUUUGAUGGUAUAGAAUGAAAGUUGCUUAAAACCAGCAAUAUAUUGAGUCCAGGGGGAUCUAUCCAGUCCAUAAAUUCUCUGGUGUCUACUGGAUUUUUCAUCAGGGAGACUUCCAAUAAAAAUGAUCUAUUUUAGAAAUAAUAUUGUUUAGUAGGUUGAAAUGUGGUGUAAUAAAAUUAGACCUUCAGUCUUCCAAAGUUACUACUUAGAUGGAACCCUUGGGAUGGCAAAAUGGCUGUAUAAGCAGAUGAAUCAGACAGUUCUACUGAUGGAUACAUUUGUCAGUCUCUGUUACGGAUAUAAUAUAUUCUCAUAUCUGUAAUCCUGACACUGUUACAUCCAAAUGAAAUCAACAUGAGGUUGUCAUCUUUAAGCAAAUAUGUUAAGUGUUGUCUUUUGUGCUGUGGAUUUGAAAGAAAGGGGCCCAAGGGAGCCAGCAUCAUGCAAAUGGAACAAAUCCCAUUUCUUCUGAGCUGUGCUGUUUUCCCCCUCCUUCAUGGCAGCUGGCUGUGUUAUCUUUGUGUGUUUCUCUGAGUGCUGACAAUUCUUUCAGUGAUCUAAGUUAGGGCACAUUAGAAAGUGGAAGCAGCUGUCUGUCGCUAUACUGAGAGACGUGUUUGCUCUACUGCAAAGAUGAAGGACCAUGAAUCCUUGACACACACACACACUUCCCCCUCCCCUCCCCUCCUUUUUUUUUUUUUUUUUUUACUUUCCAACAUGAUCAACAUUCAGACACACAGAUUGUCUGCUUGGACAGUUUUUUGUUCUGACUGACAGCAUCUGGCAUAGACAAAUUUAAAAAUACAUAGCAUGCCAUGCUUGGAAUUGGAACAUCCCUUUCUUUAUUAAUCUACUCAUUUAAAGCAUUCAUUCACAUUUCACUAAGGGUUAAACUUGAUAUGGCUGGAACGUUUAUUUUCAACGAAUAAGCUCCUAAUGAAAUACCUUGAAUGAACUCCAAACAGCUAGAGCAUAUAUUUUUUAAAAAAUUAACACCUGAUUAAUGUGGGCCUCGGACGUGGAUGGAAAGUGUAGGUUUGUCUUAGAUACACAGUUGAUUAAAAUGGCAGGGAUGUUGAAAUUUUAUUUUUAGCAUUGAGGUAAAUAAAAAUGAUUUGUUUCAGCACUCAGCAUAUUUUCUGUGAAAUGAAUUGUCCUUCAGGAUACUGUUUGUCUAACUGGAUCUACUACUAGUAGAAAAAUAAUUUGUUGUUCAUAAUUUUAAGAACUAAACAAUUUGUGCUUUAGUGAAACAUAAAAAUUAGAUGAUUCUGACAUUAAAUAUACAAUUAGUAUAUGUUGCUUGUAUAUGUUGCUUUUAGUAAGGCAAAUACGCUGUGGAAUACGCCCCUCCCUACCCCCACGUUUGUUACGUACACUUAUCUCCACAAUGCAGUUUAGCAACGCAGACAUGCUUAUUUAGUCUUUAUGUAAUAAUAUCAUGGACAUUGACUAUACCAGGCCGGAUCUGAACUGUGUGCGUGUUUUAAGGCCUUUGUGUACGUUACAUUUUUAGACCAUUUGAUGAUCCUUAUUCUGGCUUGCAGCAUUUAACUCUGUGUAAUACAGUGAUGGAGAGUGGGAAAGCGUUGCUUCAUGGAUAGUACAGUGUUCUACUAAAAUGGACGAGACAACUAUUUAAGUGCCUAGCAGCAAAUACAGUAUGUGUUGGGGUUUUCUUUUUUUAAGCCUAUGCUCAUUCAGGGGGUGGGGGGAGUGAGAUGCAGCAGCAGACAAGGUCUGUUAAUUGUGAGGAGACAAGACUUGUAUUCCUUGGAUAGACACAGGAGAGGGCACUUGCUUUAGGAUAAAUUCUGACAAAUUUCAGAUGCAGAUAUCCAGGCUGAAAUAAAGAAAUGAUAAAAGACAAUAAUAGUUGCAACCCAAAUAGGGUUUAUGUUUUAGUUGUGCCCCAAUAGUUCACGUUUAGCCUUUUAGAAAUGGAUCUUUUUGGAAAUGUAUUUUUAAACAUUUCCAUAGGAAGGCGGCUGUUUGUGUGUAGCUGGGCAGAAGAUCACAGUCUAAACAUUUAUAUCUGUAGGGCUGUGAGGAUAGUCCUCUGAAAAAUAUUUGGCUUUUAGCUUGAAAUAUUUUCUAUUAUUUUCCCUUCAUUGAUCUGUUUCGGAUAUAGUAAUUCUAUUGAUUUGGUUUUUCAGCGUUUCUGAAAGUGUUCUAUCUUUUAUAUUCACAUCAAUUCAAAUGUAUAAAUCAGCUUUCACUGUAAAACUUUUGAAAAUCCCGUCAUUGUUUUUACACAACUGAUGUGGUUUGUGUAAACUUCCAUCUCCACACUCUAGUAGUUAAAAGAGAGGAGUGCAUAUUUGCAUCUGUAAGCAAACUGGGAAUAGGUUGGAGUACACAAUUCCCUGGUGGAAAAGGAAGGUUUAGCAGUAAUGCUUUUAAUCUGGACUUGUAGAGGAUUCAGGAGCAUCCAUAGAUCUGCUCCAGUAAUUACCAUACCCCAAGUGGCACCACCAGAGACAUUUGCCUAAAAACUUGAUGUCUUCAUUACACUGUUUACAUUUUAAUUAGAAACAUGAAAAUUUACUGAUUCAUGCGAAUCACUGUAGUUUAAGUGGGUUCGUUCUCUAUCCAAUAAAUCAUUUAAUAAUAAAAAAGAGCCCUGCAGUCAGCAUAUGUAGUUUACUGAGAAUCAUUCAUGGGAAUAAUGUGUUAGCAUUAUAAGCUGCUUUUAAAAUAUGUUUUAUUUUAUUUUAUCAGAGGUAGAAUUUGCAUAUAAAUUAGAGAAUGGCAUUUUAAAUUGGCUGUCAUUUAUGCAUGAUACUACACAUAUGCAAAUUACACGUGUGCAUAAUAUAUGCACGCAUACCAGGGUGUCAGACUUAAAUGUCUAAUGCAGAAAAAAACACAAGCACACACUACAGAUGAAUGCUUAACAUGAGCUUUGUAUGUGCUAAACAGAAGAAGCCAGUGCUCCACUUCUACUCUCAUUCAUAUAGACUUGAUUGUAUGUGUGUCCUUGCUGUUGGUGUAUAAAUAGAGAUGUAAAACACACACCAUGUAUAUGUAUAUUAUUUCCCCUUGACUUUUGCAUGUACCUGUCAGCACUAGUGCCCUAAAACAACUCCCGCUAGGAGCAAGCUGGCCUGACGCAUUGGUGCCUGUCAGUGUCCAUCCCUGAGUCAGCAGCAUGUCCAUUGCUUGAAUCGUGCGACAAUCACUCAUCCAGUUUUUUCCCUCCCCAGGGGGGCAACCAUCCUCCUCAUCACGGAGAAUGACCCUUCUGUCUGGCAUGCUCAAGAUCCUGAAUCUCCCCACAUCAGUGUGUGAGUUCAAUUCCCUACUCCUGAAGGCAGAGCUGGGAUUCUAGCUAAUGACUCAGAGAUACAGAGGGUCAAUGCACUGCUGAUCUGGAGUACUGAGCCAUCGCACCAGUUUAGUUGUACAUUUCCUUAUUUUCUCUCUGGCCACACCAACUCCCUGUUUCUCCCCCUUUAUAAUAAAUUGUGUUUUAUGGGAAGUUAAAUAGAAGCACCCCACCCCCAAUUUUCACUUGGGCUGAUAACUGAUUUCUGGCAGGAAAUGUAGAGGAUAUUUGGCAUUUUGCUUACAAAAGAGCUCUUGUGCUCUGCUUUUACACUGCCCUUGUUUUUGUUGGUUGCUUCUUCAUGUAAGGAUGGAAGACCUAUGGCAAGAGAGUUGCUAUUACUAGUCUGGCAGCUUGUGGUUGAUUUAAUUUUAAUGGCAUUUACGUAAUUCUAUUUUGUAAAAAUAAAAUCUCUCGUAAACAUUGUCUUCCCUCUGAUCUGUCUGUCUAUCUAUCUAUCUAUCUAUCUAUCUAUCUAUGAAUACAACUAAAAUUGCCUGCAUCAGAUACAUACUUGACUCCUGCUUGAUCAAGUAUGGUUGCCAUUCUAUAUAUAAACACUCAAAUGGAAGCGAGCUCCAUGUAGAUCUGUGGAGCUUACUUCUGAGUAAACAAGCAGAUAAUUUCAUUGUAGACUUGUUUUUCUUUUCCUUACACAAUAUGCGGUUUAAAUGUACUAAUGCAUUUUGUGGUUGUUUUUAAUGGCUUUUUAAUAGCUCACACAUUCGAAGUUCAUUAUUCAUCUAAAUAGUGUAAUAUUUAAAUUCAUUAGAGAAAGUUGUGAACUAUUUUAAUUUUAUUGCAGUGCAACAAGGACCAACCAACCUCUUGAGGCCUUGUGGCUUUUUAAAAGGGUUUUUUAAUAUAUAUAUAAAGAUGUACUCUGUUUUGUUUUUCAAAUAAAUACUUUCAGGCUGCAGCGUUCUCACAAGCGCUUGUUAUAGCAUAGAUGUGACAAAUGAAAAGGAACAGUUUACACAUAGUCAAAGCUUGUAGAUGCUUUCUAUAUAUUGCAUAAUUCUAAUGUGGUGUCAUCAUCCCUUCUCUGGCUGCCAAUCCUUCCAUCCAUCUCCAUCCCUUCUAGCUCUAGCAAAUUUGAAGCUUUGAGUUUAAGCAUUUUAGUGAAAUUUACUUCAAAGUAAGCAUGCCAGGGAUUGGGACUACAAAGCUUUGGUCUCACACACACACACACCACCUUUCUUUUUCCAACCAUAAUGUGAUGUUGAUGGAGUUUUGUGUGGUGAAUGAAGCUGGCUGGCUGGCUGCCAGCCAUCGACUAUGAAAUCCUGGGUACCUGAGAGCUUAUCAGUUCUUUUGCUUUGU